AAGACCUUGCGCUUUUGGAGCGGCCGAUGCCUGAUUAGCUAGUUGGUAAGGUAAAGGCUUACCAAGGCUUCGAUCAGUAGUUGGUCUGAGAGGACGACCAGCCACACUGGGACUGAGACACGGCCCAGACUCCUACGGGAGGCAGCAGUGGGGAAUUUUGGACAAUGGGGGAAACCCUGAUCCAGCCAUGCCGCGUGAGUGAAGAAGGCCUUCGGGUUGUAAAGCUCUUUCAGUUGAGAAGAAAAGAUUACGACUAAUAAUCGUGAUUCAUGACGGUAUCAACAGAAGAAGCACCGGCUAACUACGUGCCAGCAGCCGCGGUAAUACGUAGGGUGCAAGCGUUAAUCGGAAUUACUGGGCGUAAAGGGUGCGCAGGCGGUCUUGUAAGUCAGAUGUGAAAUCCCCGGGCUUAACCUGGGAACU
rnacentral:rRNA from 1 species